GACGUAGGUGGCGAACGUUAUCCGGAAUUAUUGGGCGUAAAGGGUGCGUAGAUGGCCUGACAAGUUAGCCGUGGAAAAUCGAGGCUCAACCUCGUGGAAACUGAUAAUACUGUCUGGCUCGAGUACAGGAGAGGUUAACGGAACUCCAUGUGGAGCGGUAAAAUGUGUAGAUAUAUGGAAGAACACCAAUAACGGCGAAGGCAGUUAACUAUUCUGUUACUGACAUUGAGGCACGAAAGCGUGGGGAGCAAAACGG
rnacentral:rRNA from 1 species